rnacentral:lncRNA from 1 species
GUCCAAUAGAAAUAUAAAUGCAAGGUCAGGCUCAGUGACUCAUGUCCAUAAUCCUAGCACUUUGGGAGGCUGAGGCAGGAGGAUCGCUUGGGCCCAGGAGUUUGAGAUCAGCUGGGACAACAUGAUGAAACCUUGUGUUUACAAAACAUACAAAAGUUAGCCGGGUGUGGUGGCGGCACUUGUAAUCCCACCUACUCGGGAGGCUGAGGUAGGAGGAUUGCUUGAGCCUGGGAGGUUGAGGCUGUAGUGAGCCAUGAUCACACCACUGCAUUCCAGCCUGGGCAACAGAACGUGAUCUUGCCUAAUAAAAAAGAAAUAAAAUAAAAACUAAUGCAACCGACAUAGACAAUCUUAACUCUUUUAGAACCCACAUUUUAUUUCAUAUAUAUUUACUUAUUUAUAUAUAUAUUUUUGAGACGGAGUCUCACUCUGUUGCCUAGGCUGGAGUGCAGUGGUACGAUCUUAGUUCACUGCAACCUCCGCCUCCCAGUUUCAAGCGAUUCUCCUGCCUCAGCCUCCCGAAUAGCUGGGAUUUCAGGUCCCUGCCACUAUGCCCAGCUAAUUUUUUGUAUUUUUAGUAGAGAUGGGGUUUCACCAUGUUGGCCAGGCUGGUUUCAAACUCCUAACCUCAUGAUCCGCCCACCUGGGCCUCCCAAAGUGCUGGGAUUACAGGCGUAAGCCACCGAGUGGCCUAGAACCCACAUUUUAAAAAGUAAAAAGAAACAGAUGAAAUUUUAAUAAUAUAAUUUACUUAGUCCAGUGUACCCAAAAUAUCAGCAUUUCACCCCUGUCAUUGCUAUUUGAGUGCCCCCUAGUGACAGAUUUGAUUAACUUCCUC